CAAAACAAAACUAAAGAAACCCUAAACACAUCUUUUCCUCCCCAUCUUUUUCCCUUUCUUAUUCUUCUUUCUUCUCCUUCUUCCCCUUCCUAACCCUAGUCGCCGCCCUCCCCCUCCCGUUCUUCGACGAUCAACCCCUUCUCGUUCUCCGACGACGCAACAGUGCGGCGGAGGCGGCGAUAUUCGAUAGUGCAACGGCGAUAUUCGACAGUGCAGCGGCGGCAGGCUUCGACAGCGCGGCAGCGGCGGUCUUCGACAGCAGCAGCAGCACCUCCGGCGGUCUUCGACAUUAGCGGCGAUACGUUCAUCCCGGCGUCCCUUGGCAACACGAAACUGCGGUCGUCGACGUGGGUAUCUAGCAACAGCGGUCGGCGCACAAAACCACCGGCGGUAACAGUGGUGUUUUAGAUCCCGCGACCACGAUUCGUAAAGCAACAGCAGUGGCAACUACAAACAGCCCGAAUCCGACGACUCCAUGCCCCAAUUUGCUUGUUUUGAGUUACCCAUCCCCUUCGUAUUGGUUUGAUGUUGACCCACUCCUAUCUGGACCCAAAUUGACGUUACCCACCCACUUUGGCACUGACCCACUACUAACCCAAGUGUUUUUAGGGUGAGUUAAUAGGUAACGACUCACCUAACUUUAGUUUCGGUUCAAUUUAAGUGGUUUUAGUUAGUUUCUAACCUAAGUUUAUUUGCUUUGAUUUAGGAACACUUCAGUGAGUUUAGUAGCGCGUUAGGAAUUUGUAUGUUUUAACUCUUUAUGCAUGUUGGAUAUGUUUAUGGAUUAUACUGACAAUUAUACUCUUGGAUUGUUUGUCAAUUAUACUCUUGCAUUGUUUGUCAAUUAUACUCUUGGAUUGUUGUGUUUAUGAAAACAUACUGAGUUUAGUGAGAUUUGUUAUAUUGUGAAAGCAUAUCCGUAUAUUGUUUCGUGAUAAGUAUAUUGUCUGACACUUUUUUAUUUUUAAAUUUAAAUGACAAACAAAAACGAAAGGUUUUCUUCUGUUCCAUUAUAUAUUAUAUGUUAUAUAUUAUACAAUCUAUUUUUUAUGGGUGGAUUUAGAAUUAUUUAUUUUCAUCGGAAAAGUUAGUCACCACAUGGUUAGGUAGUGUGUUUGGAUGUCCCAUAGGUUUAUGAUAAAGUUAAUGAAAUCUUUUAUCAAAUUUCAACAGGAUUGAACUUUAAAAGUGCUAAAAACUUUAUCGCAAAUUACUUUUAAUAGUAUAAUUGGAAGAUGGAUAGAGAUUGGAUUAAGCUAAGAGAUAGGUUUUCAAGAGGGUAUGUAUGUUGAAGAGGUUUUAAAAUUUAUAGAGGUUACCAAAUUUCAUGUUAACGAGUUGGGAAAAACGAGAUGUCUGUGCAAAAAAUGUCAAAAUGUAUUAUGGCAACUACUGGAUGUAGUGGAACAACACUUAUUCAUUAAUGGGAUAUCUCCUACUUAUAGUCAAUGGAUACAUCACGGAGACCCUUUGAACUUAGAUCGAUAUUCAAGUGACACACCGUCGUCCCAUGAUGACUUAAGUAGAGAGUGUAAUGUUACCAGAGAAGAAAAUGAGGUGUUCGAUAUGCUAAACGAAAUGAGAGGUCCAAUGAUAGAAGAGGAUGAAAACGUAGAAGAUUUUGUAUAUGAGAUGCCGGCACAGGGUUUUGAAAGAGACAAUUCGAAUGAGUUUGAGGAUUUGAUGAACGAAGUAAGUCAAGAAUUGUACCCUAGUUGUACACAAGUUACCUCAUUGGAAUUUUUGAUCAAGUUGAUGCAUAUCAAAGUGCUUAAUAAGUGAAGUAAUACAUCAUUAGAUAUGUUACUCCAAUUAUUGAAGGUAUAGUUUGCUACUUAAUCUAACUUUGUAAUCUUGAUGAUGUUUUGAGUCAUACGUUGUCGUAGGUAUGCUGGGAACUAGUCAAGAAUUGGCCGGUGAUAUAUUCGAGGAUGCACAACGGGAUGAAGAGUUUGGAGAUGGACCUGAAGAAGACGCCUCCCGUAACACCGGUCGAUUGGGUGUACAGAUGCAUACUCGUUAUGUUGACUUAGACAAGGAGGUGACAAAAAAUGGGAGAAUCAAAAUUGUUAUUGACGAGAACCAUGAUAAGCUAGUAUGUGCAAAUGCUACACGGUUCUCGAAUACUAUAGGCUCUGUUGUUAGAGAAAAUAUUAGUCCGGUGGAGUACACGAAGUGGAAUGAGGUACUAGAGGAAAUGAUAGGAAAAGCCAUCAAACGCGUAAUUAGGCAAAGAUGAAUAAAUUCGUCUUUAAGCAUAUUCAAUUGACAUUUAAGAAGUAUCGGGCAGAAUUGUAGCCACAUCGACGAAUUGAGAAGCUAGAUGAUUGGUACAGGUCGUGCGAUAAAUGGGAAACUCCUGAAUGGAAGGAAAAAUCAGAGACAAACAAAACGAGUAGGUCAAAGGUCACUUACAAUCAUCGGGUCGGGUCUAAAACAUUCGACCGUAUGCAACAAGAACUGGUAAUAUUGACAAUUACACGUAUUAUUACUGUAUGUUCUGCACUGACAGAUGAAAUUCAUGUGAAAUGUAGAAAGACAAACUUGGCGUGGAGAUCGGUCCCGUCCAAAUGUUUAAAGAGACGAGAUAUAAUCCUGAAAAAGGAUGGGUAAACCCCAUGUCGAAAUAACAUAUAAAGCGUCAGAAGACAUGAGGGAUGCAUCUGUACCAGAAGGGACCGAUCCGCCAACAGAAGCAGAUUGUUGUCGAACUGUAUUCGGUCCUCGUUCCAGAUUCGUCUGAAGCAUGGGGUUGGGCCCAGCACCAGGAGGAAAAGAGGAAGCUCAUCCAACAAUCCAAGAGUCAUGGAGGAACUAAAUGCGACGAAAGACGAAUUGAGGGAGACUAAAGAACGAUUGGACAAUACCGAAAAUCGCUUAAGUCGAAUUGAAGAAUGUUUAGCCAAAAAUCUACGAGAGUUCAAUAACCUUAAAAACUUAUUCGAAAGUUUCAUGAGUCAAUCCUCAGGCGGCUCAUUCCCUAUGUCUGAAUAGGCAUAAAGCAUUUACUUAGGUUUUUGUAGCUUUUGAAAUAUAUUGAACGUGUAAUUUCAAGAAUCUUUGGAACACGUGAACUUUGAUGAUAUUUUGGUACUUGAUAUUUUGGUUUAUGAUAU